rnacentral:rRNA from 1 species
UACAGAGGGUGCAAGCGUUGUCCGGAUUCAUUGGGCGUAAAGAGCUCGUAGGCGGUUCGAUAAGUCGGGUGUGAAACCUCCAGGCUCAACCUGGAGACGCCACCCGAUACUGUCGUGACUAGAGUCCAGUAGGGGAGCGUGGAAUUCCUGGUGUAGCGGUGAAAUGCGCAGAUAUCAGGAGGAACACCAGCGGCGAAGGCGGCGCUCUGGGCUGGAACUGACGCUGAGGAGCGAAAGCGUGGGGAGCGAACAGG